UUAAGCGACUAAGCGUACACGGUGGAUGCCCUGGCAGUCAGAGGCGAUGAAGGACGUGCUAAUCUGCGAUAAGCGUCGGUAAGGUGAUAUGAACCGUUAUAACCGGCGAUUUCCGAAUGGGGAAACCCAGUGUGUUUCGACACACUAUCAUUAACUGAAUCCAUAGGUUAAUGAGGCGAACCGGGGGAACUGAAACAUCUAAGUACCCCGAGGAAAAGAAAUCAACCGAGAUUCCCCCAGUAGCGGCGAGCGAACGGGGAGCAGCCCAGAGCCUGAAUCAGUGUGUGUGUUAGUGGAAGCGUCUGGAAAGGCGCGCGAUACAGGGUGACAGCCCCGUACACAAAAAUGCACAUGCUGUGAGCUCGAUGAGUAGGGCGGGACACGUGGUAUCCUGUCUGAAUAUGGGGGGACCAUCCUCCAAGGCUAAAUACUCCUGACUGACCGAUAGUGAACCAGUACCGUGAGGGAAAGGCGAAAAGAACCCCGGCGAGGGGAGUGAAAAAGAACCUGAAACCGUGUACGUACAAGCAGUGGGAGCACGCUUAGGCGUGUGACUGCGUACCUUUUGUAUAAUGGGUCAGCGACUUAUAUUCUGUAGCAAGGUUAACCGAAUAGGGGAGCCGAAGGGAAACCGAGUCUUAACUGGGCGUUAAGUUGCAGGGUAUAGACCCGAAACCCGGUGAUCUAGCCAUGGGCAGGUUGAAGGUUGGGUAACACUAACUGGAGGACCGAACCGACUAAUGUUGAAAAAUUAGCGGAUGACUUGUGGCUGGGGGUGAAAGGCCAAUCAAACCGGGAGAUAGCUGGUUCUCCCCGAAAGCUAUUUAGGUAGCGCCUCGUGAAUUCAUCUCCGGGGGUAGAGCACUGUUUCGGCAAGGGGGUCAUCCCGACUUACCAACCCGAUGCAAACUGCGAAUACCGGAGAAUGUUAUCACGGGAGACACACGGCGGGUGCUAACGUCCGUCGUGAAGAGGGAAACAACCCAGACCGCCAGCUAAGGUCCCAAAGUCAUGGUUAAGUGGGAAACGAUGUGGGAAGGCCCAGACAGCCAGGAUGUUGGCUUAGAAGCAGCCAUCAUUUAAAGAAAGCGUAAUAGCUCACUGGUCGAGUCGGCCUGCGCGGAAGAUGUAACGGGGCUAAACCAUGCACCGAAGCUGCGGCAGCGACACUGUGUGUUGUUGGGUAGGGGAGCGUUCUGUAAGCCUGUGAAGGUGUACUGUGAGGUAUGCUGGAGGUAUCAGAAGUGCGAAUGCUGACAUAAGUAACGAUAAAGCGGGUGAAAAGCCCGCUCGCCGGAAGACCAAGGGUUCCUGUCCAACGUUAAUCGGGGCAGGGUGAGUCGACCCCUAAGGCGAGGCCGAAAGGCGUAGUCGAUGGGAAACAGGUUAAUAUUCCUGUACUUGGUGUUACUGCGAAGGGGGGACGGAGAAGGCUAUGUUGGCCGGGCGACGGUUGUCCCGGUUUAAGCGUGUAGGCUGGUUUUCCAGGCAAAUCCGGAAAAUCAAGGCUGAGGCGUGAUGACGAGGCACUACGGUGCUGAAGCAACAAAUGCCCUGCUUCCAGGAAAAGCCUCUAAGCAUCAGGUAACAUCAAAUCGUACCCCAAACCGACACAGGUGGUCAGGUAGAGAAUACCAAGGCGCUUGAGAGAACUCGGGUGAAGGAACUAGGCAAAAUGGUGCCGUAACUUCGGGAGAAGGCACGCUGAUAUGUAGGUGAAGUCCCUCGCGGAUGGAGCUGAAAUCAGUCGAAGAUACCAGCUGGCUGCAACUGUUUAUUAAAAACACAGCACUGUGCAAACACGAAAGUGGACGUAUACGGUGUGACGCCUGCCCGGUGCCGGAAGGUUAAUUGAUGGGGUUAGCGCAAGCGAAGCUCUUGAUCGAAGCCCCGGUAAACGGCGGCCGUAACUAUAACGGUCCUAAGGUAGCGAAAUUCCUUGUCGGGUAAGUUCCGACCUGCACGAAUGGCGUAAUGAUGGCCAGGCUGUCUCCACCCGAGACUCAGUGAAAUUGAACUCGCUGUGAAGAUGCAGUGUACCCGCGGCAAGACGGAAAGACCCCGUGAACCUUUACUAUAGCUUGACACUGAACAUUGAGCCUUGAUGUGUAG
rnacentral:rRNA from 1 species